AUGUAUAUAGCCUAAGCAAAUAGUGGGGUUUUGAGAGUGAUAGGCUGAUGGCUACUUGGGCUGGAAAUGCAUCUGUCUACACUCAUUAAAAGCAUAAAUAAUCUUCCUCCCUGUUUUCUUAACCCUAAAGCAGUUCAAAUUCUGAUUUCUGUAAAAACCCUUCAUCAAGUAAACCAUUUUUUCUUUCCUUCUUCAAUAUUUCGACAAUGGAAGCUGAUGAGCAUGUAGCUAGUGUUCAUGGUUGUGAAGAAGAACUUUGACUACUAUAAGAACUGAUGCCCAGGUAUUAUAGCACAAGAUCGAUCAUGUUCAUGGUUGUGGUAACUUUGAUUCUCCUUAUGUUGCCUCCGGUUUUACCACCACUACCUCCUCCACCGCUGUGUCUUCUCUUUGUGCCGGUCAUGAUUAUGUCUGUUCUAGUUAUGUUGGCCUUAUCUCCAUCUUUCCAGGACCAAUUGCUUUGCUGCAUGGCGCCGCUACUAUAGAUAGCGUGAAUAUACUAUAAAUAGAAAGGAUGAAGGAGGUCUAAUGGCCUGAUUAGCUUAGGUACUCUCAAGCUCAUUUCAUCUCCUUUUGUUCAUUUGUAUUUCCUCUAUUCGUAUCCAAGAUCUCCAAGGAAACUUGCGCUACGAGCUAGGAGCCUAUGAGGUUUCUUUUAGUCAUUCUACUCAGAAGCGAUGAGCAAAUGAAAAGGGAAAUUGCCCUAAUCUUGAGAUGGGUUCAGAGGCGGCCAUUGCUUCAAAUUCUUCAUGGGCCAUUUGAUUUCAGAUUUGGACUCUCAGCUUGUUCAUGAAGCAUCGUUAGGACUUUUAUUUAAAGGCAGCAAGUGAUGAUCUUCCUCUAUAUAUAUAAAUAUAUAUAUGUAGUGAGGGCAUCCAUCUUCAAGACUGGUAUAUAUGCUAGCUCCUUGUGCAAGAAAUAAUAGCAAGUUUCUUAGAGUACUAAAAGGUAGUAGAUUUUUUCCAUUCAUGUUGUAAUAGAAGAAAAUGAAUACAAAUAAAGCUUUCAGUCA